UUGCAUUAUUUAAAACUGUGAAACUGAUUCAUAAAACAACAGUUCAGCAGACAAGGAGUCAACAUCAGCAUUUUAUCGCAUAAUUCAAACAAUCCAAACAAAGAGAGGAAAAAGUGAUGCAGACAGCAAUAUGAUGACUCAGGCACAAAUGGAUACCUGCAAAACUGUGGAUCAACAAUUUGGUGAAGAUGAUCAGAAAGUGAGGGACAGAGAGCUGGAUCGGCUGACCAACUCUAGCAAGACAAUGCAUUGCUGUGACCAGUGUGGGAAACGUUUUAAGAAGUUAGGAAAUUUAAAAUGCCAUCUACACAUCCACACUGGAGAAAAGCCUUUCCUCUGCGAUCAAUGUGGGACGAGUUUCAGGCAAUUAGGAAAUUUGAAGUCUCAUCUACACAUCCAUACUGGAGAAAAGCCUUUCCUCUGCGAUCAGUGUGGGAAGAGUUUUAGUCGUCUAAGUUCUUUGAAAUACCAUCUGGGUUCUAACACAGGAUUAAAAGCCUACAGCUGUGGGAAAUGUGGAAAGAGCUUCAGGCAUUUAAAAUCUUUGCAACGUCAUCUGCGCAUUCACACAAGAGAAGAAACAUCAUAGAAUAAUCUUCUGUUUCUGUGUGGUUCUCAUGGUCAUCUUCUAUUCUAACAUAAACUAAAGAUGUAAUAAAAUUAUUUGCAUGACA